GGAAAUUCUGGAAAGGGGGGUCCUCCACCUCAGUGAGGCAGCUGAGGCCUGCUGGCUGAACCUCUAAGGGACCUGCCAGG